UGGAACAUUAAAUCGUGUUACUAGGGAAGGACCACAGACUCAACCUAGGAUCAUAGAUACUACUGGUAACACAGUAGUAAGGCCACGGGAAGUCUGAAGGAGAAAAGAAAUUCAUCUUUAUGGCAUCUAAGUGCAAGAAGAGCAUCUAUAAACCUGCUUUUUAUUAGCGGGAUCAUCAUGCUGUCAUUUGCUCACAGCCUGCAGAUAGUCCUGGGUCCUCAGACGCCUGGAGGAUAAGCACACAAAUCCAUUCUAGCCAGAACCCAGCUGUGUAAGCCCAGAGGUCCUGGAAUGUAAAUGCAACCAUCAUUUCAGGCAUUCCAUUUCAAGAAUCCCUGGAUGGAGUGUUACUGGUGGUAGCUUUGCUCCAUUGAAAUGGAACUCAGGUCUGCCAGCAAGUGUAGGGCCAGGAGGCUUGUUUCUUCAUACAGCUGCCCUGUCAGCCUCAAAUGAAGAGAAGAUUACAGUCUGGGAGGAACACAAGAAAUGCUUAGUGAUAUGUAGCAGGAGCAAACUCCAGAUCCACAUCUCUAGAGGCCAUUGUAAAGGAAGUAAAACUACUCAGUCUGAAGUCACCGUCUUAAGGAUAAUAAGCAAAUACCAAAAGGUUGAGAGGAAUCACUUGAGAGUCAGGAAGAUCUGACUUCAAAUUCUGUCUCUGACACAUGGGUUGCCAUCAUCUUGAUUUCUGUUAUUGCUUUUCCUGGAUUCAGUAUUUUAGGGCUGGUUCUGGUAUAGUCCAUGAUGGUUUGAUGUCAGUACAACGAGAAUGGGUUCUAUAACUGGACCAGCCACUCCUCUAUAAAGCCAUCCAUAGAGUCAGUCAUCUGGUGAUAGGUCUGCAUGAAGACUCUGGGUCCUAAAUACUCAUCAUGUUUAUUCAGAUCAGGAUCAUUUGUGUGCAUUCAGGGUUUAUCUCCAUAUUUGUCUGAGUCCAAUUUGUAGAUGGCACAUUUCUUGAGAUGGGGAGCUGCAGUGGUUGCUGCCUGGGGCUCCUUGGUGGACCUCAGGGAGCAGAGAAAUUCCUGGGAUAAGACCAUGCCUCAACAAAUUUCAAACUGCCAUUGCAUUUUGGCCAAUGACCUCCCCCCUUCCCCAAAUAACUUUUUAAAAGCUACAUAAUACAGGAAUUGCUUAGUGUAACAAAUUUCUAGACCAGGAGGUCCUCUCACUGAUAAAAUCAUAAAUUUUAUAAAGCAUUUUAUUGUUAAUAGAGCAAUAACAUUAAGAAACAAUAAACAAUAAUGGCACCAACAUCAUCAGUACUGACCACUCCUCAAAAUCUGUGAAUUCUUUCUGUAUGUAGUUCCCCAAAUAGCCAUAACAUUCACCAUGCAGAGAAAAAUUAGUCUAUGAUAUAGUCCAUCAAUUCUCCAGAAUGGCCUAAGGUGAAAUCUUGAACAAGGUCAUACAACUAGGAAGUACCAGAGGUGGGAACUGAUUCUAGGUAUUUCUGACUCCAGCCUCUGCUUUAUAUCCAUUAGUCCAAAGUUCCUAUUUCUAUACUUUUUUUGUUCCUUUAAAAUGACUUUGGAUUUGAAACUAGAAUCUUUAUAUAUAAGAGACUAGGGAGCAUGAGCAAUGAAAUAAAGAAUCAGGGCUAAAUUUUCCACAGAGAAAUACCUAGCACAAUCUCAGUCAAAAAAGGAUGAUAGACAUUUUGCAACCUUAAUCAGGCACAUAUUGAGCAGUGGUCUUUCUUCCCCAGUAUCUUCCUCCCAUCUUCCACCUCUACCCUCAAGCAGAACCUACAUCAGCAGGUCUUCAAGUGGGAGAAAAGAAUUUGGUGUUUAUUUUAUAUUUACUAAAUUGAACAGACUGAACAAGAAAGAUAAGGGAAAUUUAGAACUAAAAGUUGAGGUGUUAUAGGGAAAGGAAUUGGAGGUUGAAAGCCAUGUAAACCAAAGGGUGAAAUCCAGUGUUCUUUUGAGUCUGUGAGAAUUGAUCAUUUUAUUUAAUUACAAGUAGAGAUGGUUUUUGUAGGGGUAGUUGUGAGGAGAAAGUAGGCAAGCAGGCAGAUACAAUCCUUUUUUUCUUUAAGGAAAAAAAGCAAUAGAAUGUAAUAAUUAUUGACCCUCAGUAUUAACUUUGUUCUCUUGGGUAAGCACAUAAUUAGACUGUUCUUUAAAAUGCAUAUUAUGUAGUUGGCAGAAGACAGUGGCUUAGAUCAGUAACUCCUUAUGUA